rnacentral:rRNA from 1 species
AUGUCGAGCAAGCAAGAGGUGUUCACUGACGGCAUUCUCCGCGUCACUGUGCACCAUGUGUACUACCCGAUCAGUGAGGAGACGUUGCAGCAGGUGUUUACAGAGUAUGGCGUGGUGAAGAUCUCCAUGUUCCAGAGAAUCCACCAUGUGGAGGCGGUGGUUCAACUUCGGUCAAGAAGCGGGGCAGUGCGAGCUCUCGCCAUGCAUGGCCGGUGCAUCUACGAGCGUGCAUGCCUCCUCGACGUCCAGGACGUGUCUCCGGAGUACAACUUGCACUUGUGCUCACUGCUCGAACAGAAGCAGACCACAACCGUGGCCGAGUACACGACAGCUUUUUGGGAAUGUGUACAACGCGUACUGGAUAUCAACCCGAACUUGAGCAUCAAGUGCUUCGUCCACCAGUACAUUGAGGGGCUGCACAAGGAUAUUCAAGCAGUUGUGCAGUCGAAAUCGCCGUCUAGCAUCACCAGAGCGUCAUGCCUUGCUCGGAUAAGGGAGGAAGAGAUCAUGAAGGAUGAGGCGAUAUGCGCCGAGGAGUGUGGCGUUGGCUACGACCAUGUAGUACAGGACCACGACAUCGAUGCGAGCAAGCUUGCUGCUCCGACACCGACCAUGUACUCGACAGAGUGCCUGAAUCCUGACGACACCGUCCAUGUAGCUGCACCUAUCGUGCUUGCCUCCACUGCCGUGUGCAGCAAGGACCUCGACAUUGACACCGUCCAUGCCGCUGCACCUGCCGUGCUUGCCUCCCCUGUCGUGUGCAAUGAGGACCUCGACAUCGACACCAUCCACGCCGCUGCACCAAUGCCCGCCAUCUGCUCAACGGGUGAUCUGGCCCAUGGAAGAGAUGACUACGAUCCCAUGUUAGUGUCCAUGGUCCUCUGGAGUACACCAUCCCCACCACAGAGAGUGAUUCCUGACUUUAAGCUCAUUGCGAUGAUACCCACCAGUUGUUUGUUGAAAAGCUAUGUCGAGGCUGCCUGCGUGUUGACACUCGUGCCCGGGUCAGAGAAGACAGUGGGUCUGAAUGCACACGGACAGGUGAUCCGGCCAGCACCAUGGCCUUCGUUCUUCAGCAAGCACACCAUUACAGCUCGGGACAACAUUGUCAAGCCGCUGUCAAGCGUCGCCAGUGUGUCGGGCAGGUAUGUGGUUCCCUGUUCGACCUCGCCACCGCUCCAUGUCAAGGUGAGUCUGGAAUGUGGCCAAAUGCCGUGGGAGUCAGCUGCAGGUCUUGCCCUGAUGUUAGCUCAGGUUACCUCUGUUUUCAAAGCUACUGUCUAUUUUGUGAGACCGAAUCCAACUGAAGAAAGUCUCCACAAUUUUAUUGACCAUGCAAGAAAGUCCCAGUUACUAGACCUCAUGUGUGAGUGUCUAAUAGCUUCAAGUUCAGUGAUAAAACUAGGUUCCAUAAACAUGGUACUAGCAGCACGUGAGGCAUGCAAGGCAAUUUGGCAUAUGGCUCAUGCAAUUGACAUUUUGUCCAUUGGUGCACAACAUUUCACUUGUAGUUGGAUCAUGGCGACAAGGUCACUUAAAGCUGGAUGA